rnacentral:tRNA from 1 species
GGACCCUUAGCUUAGUGGUAGAGCGUCCGCUUCACACGCGGAAGGUCGCUGGUUCGAACCCAGCAGGGUCCA